UGAGUGACGGGCACUGAGGGGGGCACUUGACAGGAUGAGCACUGGGGAUUAUACUAUAUGUUGGCAAAUUGAACUCCAAUAAAAAUAUACAAAAAUAAAUAAAUUUGGUCGGUAUCUAUAACUGCUGUUUGUCAGAUAAAAUUCUAACCAUAUUAUCGAUAGGAAGACUUGUAUAAAUUUUUUAUAUGCAUUACGCUAUGUGGAAUUAUUAGCUUUAUGUAUUUGCUAUGCAUUUGGAGAGUUACAGUGGGUAACAAAUGUCUCAGUAGUUAUCAAGUGCUACAGUUAAAAUUUGCCAUGUUUUACAAAUCAAACACAGGGGACAAUGUUAACUUCUAAACCACUAUAGCAAAGUCUGGCAUCUCUCAUACUCAUAUGUACUUAUUACAUAUAUGUGCUUUCUAAAGGCUGCUACUUAGAUGUAGGUUUUCAUUCAAUAUUAAGGAACAAAAACAAUGGAUCUCAGAUAUGCAGUUUUAGACUCGAUGUCAUUAAAUAUUGAUAUGAAUAAUUUAGCCAAUAGAUGCUCGGAUUUAAGGUUAACACGUUUUUCACUUAUAUUAAAAUAUCUCCAAAGAGCAUGUUUGCCAGUAAAGUGAUUGUUAUUUGUACUUAAGAAUAUAAGUACUGUUUUUAGCACUUCUAAUGUUUUUAUAUAAUGUUCCCUUUUCUACCACACUCUACUCCCUGUUACCCAUACCAGCUACUAAAGUAUAAUAUUAGAAUUACUAGAUAUUCCUAUAGUAACUUCUACUGAGAUCAGAAAAACUCAUUAAGGCCUGUCCCACAUAUAAAAUAUGAUCAGAAUGCUCAAUUUUAAAAUUUCUGAAUGUUUAGUUUUUAGCCUGAGGUCAACAUACCUUCCUAAAUAUGAAAUUCCCUAAGUUUUAUGCAAAAUUCUGAUAUGAAUGUACCUUUUUUCUCAGGGAAGAAAGACUUCUUGUAACCAGAUUCCCAGAAUGUUUCAUGGCCCUAAAAUGAUGGUUGAUCACUGGACUGGAGACUGCAUUCUCAUGUUUACUUUGAUUUGCAAUCGCUGUAGCAAAGUAUUGAGUGCCACCAAGAGGCAACCUUAAUUACAUUUUAACAGGAGAUGGCAGUCAGCAUGUGUAUAAGAAACUGUCUGUGUGCUGGAGCUAAACCAAAGUUGAUAUGUGAAGGAAAUCCUUAUGUAUUAGGAAUCCGUGAUACAGACAGUGCUCAGAAACAGCUUACUAAAGCUAAAAGAAUAAUGAUCAUAGGGAAUGGCGGCAUUGCACUUGAACUGAGAGAGAGCAUGAGCCAGGGGAGAGGCAAAGGGAGAAGGAGAAACAGACUCCUCGUUGCCCUGUGCUGUGCCAGGAGCCUAAAACAGGGCUCCACCCCAGGACCAGAUUAUGACCUGAGCCAAAAGCAGACACUUAACCAUCUUAGCAACCCAGAAGGAAAAAAGAAGCACAGAACAAAGCUGAUGCUGGUAAUAUGGGCAGUACCUUAGGACCAGAUUGGCAUAAAGGCUUGAAUCUUAAAGGUACAAAAGAGUUUGAUCUAGGAGAAGAUGGUGGCCUGAAAGCAGAUGCUCACAUGCACACAUCUGUUUCUGAUGUCCAUGCUGUGGGUGACAUCUGCACUGCGUCCAGACCGCCCAGCCCAGUCUGGCAGUAGAUGAGGCUGUGGACCCAGGCUAGACAGAUGGGAUGAUAUGCAGCGAAGCGCACGGCUGCAGCUAGUUUAGAAGAAUCUAUUGACAUGGACGUCAGCUUUGAACUUUUUACUUAGGUAACAAAAUUUAACUAUAAGGGCUGGCCAGAACUUCUCAUGUGCCAACUGAUAUACCCUGUGAAGCUCAAGAAGGGAAAAACAGCUGCAGCCUUUCUCAAAUUUGACCCUGGAGCUCCUUUCACCCAGGGCACCAUUAAUAUCUUCUGAAAAUCUGUAGAACAGCUUUGAAAUGCUUUUACACAAACUCUGUGCUUCAGUAACUCCUGUCUAUGCAUAAAUUCUGGAGCAUGGAUACAAAUACUCUCCACCUACAGUUAACUCAUUCAAUAUAUACUAUUUAUUCCUUGCUGUAUCCUUUUCUAUAAAGGACUAUGUAUUACAUCUCUUCAGAAAAUCACUGCUUAACCUUCUAUCUUAUACACAGUGGAUACUUACUAAAUAUGUGCUGUUGAUACUUAGCAUUAUGUGUUAGGUCCACUAUUUAAAGCAAUUAGGUGCUGGACUCUUAUAAUCUGUCCCAUGAGCAAACGACACAUCCAAUUUCUAAGAUCACCAAGUAAACUAAUUCUUUCAUAACAUUUUCAAGUAUCUUCUAACAUGCAUUAAUAUUUCUGGCAGCUCAUCAUUCACUAGAUCAAUGUAAUAUUAAUUACUUUUUUAAAGUUCUGUCUUCAAAGUUGGUUUGUUUUUGCAUUACCUGAUUGCCCUUUGUAUCUCCCAUUAAUGAGCUUUACAAUAUCCUCGAUAACAUCUUCCGUGUUGGAGGGCUUCUGCCGAAUCUAAGAAAAAGCUAACUUAGUACAAAGUAAAUUAAUGAGCCUCAUCCACAUAGCCAUUUGCUUAACAACUUUCAGGGUGCUGUGCUUUUAUGGGUACAAUGCUUAUCUCUUACUCAUAUUCACCUCCCCUGACCCUGCCACCACCCAGACUCUUCUUGAUCCUUGGUUUUGAAUUUACUAGGAAUGAGGAGGCACAGAAGCAGCAAAUAACCUGUAAAGAUGGAGACCUUUUUUAUUUUCUGGUGUUUAUUUUUUUUUUAUGUAGGCUCCAUGCCCAGUAUGGAAGCCCAAUGUAGGGCUUGAUCUCAUAACCUGAAGUUAAGACCUAAACUGA